rnacentral:ncRNA from 1 species
CUAAAAUGUCGCCGUUCGGGUGUCCCGGCUUGGCCGGGAUGAAACGGGAAGCCGGUUGAAAUCCGGCACUGCCCCCGCAACGGUAAGCGAGUCAAACCACGGGCGAAACGCCACUGUGCCAAGGCACGGGAAGGCGCCCGCGGUUGCAUGCAGACGCAUGGCGCUCGCGAGUCCGGAGACCGGCCCGAUCAGACAGACCCGC